rnacentral:rRNA from 1 species
AGAGUUUGAUCCUGGCUCAGGACGAACGCUGGCGGCGUGCUUAACACAUGCAGGUCGAGCGAUGAAGCACCUUCGGGUGUGAAUUAGCGGCGAACGGGUGAGGAACACGUGAAGAAUCUGCCUUCAACUCUGGGAUAACUCCGGGAAACCGGGGCUAAUACCGGAUAUGAGCCUUGAUCGCAUGAUCGGGGCUGGAAAGUUUUUCGGUUGAAGAUGACUUCGCGGCCUAUCAGCUUGUUGGUGAGGUAAUGGCUCACCAAGGCGACGACGGGUAGCCGGCCUGAGAGGGCGACCGGCCACACUGGGACUGAGACACGGCCCAGACUCCUACGGGAGGCAGCAGUGGGGAAUAUUGGGCAAUGGAGGAAACUCUGACCCAGCGACGCCGCGUGAGGGAUGAAGGCCUUCGGGUUGUAAACCUCUUUCAGUAGGGAAGAAGCGAAAGUGACGGUACCUACAGAAGAAGCACCGGCUAACUAUGUGCCAGCAGCCGCGGUAAUACAUAGGGUGCAAGCGUUGUCCGGAAUUAUUGGGCGUAAAGAGCUCGUAGGUGGUUCGAUACGUCGGAUGUGAAAAUCAGGGGCUCAACCCCUGACCUGCAUCCGAUACGGUCGAGCUAGAGUUUGGUAGGGGAGACUGGAAUUCCUGGUGUAGCGGUGGAAUGCGCAGAUAUCAGGAGGAACACCGAUGGCGAAGGCAGGUCUCUGGGCCAAUACUGACACUGAGGAGCGAAAGCGUGGGGAGCGAACAGGAUUAGAUACCCUGGUAGUCCACGCCGUAAACGGUGGGCGCUAGUUGUG